rnacentral:lncRNA from 1 species
CUUUUCUAGGGCUGCUUCCUGCGGUAUAUGGAGAUUCCCAGGCUAGGGGUCUAAUCAGAGCUGUAGCCACUGGCCUACACCAGAGCCAUAGCAAUGCGGGAUCCAAGCCGUGUCCGCAACCUACACCACAGCUCAUGGCAACGCUGGAUCCUUAACCCACUGAGCAAGGCCAGGGAUCGAACCUGCAACCUCAUGGUGCCUAGUCGGAUUUGUUAACCACUGUGCCACGAUGGGAACUUCUAGAUAGUAUUGAAAAUAGUUAUUUUUUUUGCUAAAAAAUCUAUUAGAAAGUGAGUUUGCAGAGUUCCCUGGUGGCCCAGUGGAUUAAGGAUCUGGCGUUGUCACUGGUGUGGCUUGGGUCCCUGCUGUGGCACAGAUUUGAUUCCUGGCCUGGGAACAUCCACAUGCCACGGGUGUGGCCUAAGGAAAAUGAAAAACAGUAAAGAGAAAGUGAGUUUGCCAGAACUUCCAGGCCUGACGUGGGGACCGAAGCUAAACAGGAAGCUACCAAGUCUUAAGACUUCUCAAGACAUCUCUGUGCUCCGCUAAAGGAAGAAAAUCCUAGGAAGGACAAUUAAUGGGAGGAAAACAAACAAAUGUGGAAUCUUUCUUAUCUCUAGACAGAAGAAUCAUUUCUCCAAAAAAGAAUUAAUUUUCUCCUAAAUAGUUCCCUUUUUGCCUGAGCCUUUACCUCUAGGCUCCGCUUGGCUCUACUUGGUACAGAGGCAGAGAAUAGGCCAUAAACACAAUGCUCAGAGUUCCUAUCGUGGCUCAGCAGUUACAGACCUGACAUAGUGCCCAUGAGGAUGUGGGUUCUAUCCCUGGCCUUGCUCAGUAGGUUAAGGAUCCAGCGUUGCUGUGAGUUGUGGCCUAGGUCACAGAUGUGGCUCAGAUCCUUCACUGCUGUGGCUGUGGCAUAGGCUGGCAGCUGCAGCUCCAAUUCAGUCCCUAGCCUGAGAACUUCCAUAUGCCAUGGGUGCAAAUGUUAAAAGAAAAACACAAACAAAAACCAUGAUGGGAGUUCCCGUCAUGGCUCAGUGGUUAACGAAUCCGACUAGGAACCAUGAGGUUGCGGGUUCGGUCCCUGCCCUUGCUCAGUGGAUUAACGAUCCGGCGUUGCCAUGAGCUGUGGUAUAGGUUGCAGACGCGGCUCGGAUCCCGCGUUGCUGUGGCUCUGGCCAUAGGCUGGUGGCUAUAGCUCCAAUUCGACCCCUAGCCUGGGAACCUCCAUAUGCCGUGGAGCAGCCCAAGAAAUGGCAAAAAGACAAAAAAUAAAAAAUAAAUAAAAAUAAAAUAAAAAAAUAAAAUGCCAGAAUUUUUUUUUUUAAGUAUUACUUUUAAUGUAGGGCAAGAAUAGGAUGCCCACUGCAGAACCUCCCCAUCAGGGAGAAAUACCUGAGGACGUGACUCUGAAGCUGAAAAUGGAAGAAGACAGGUGAUGCUACCAAGGGUAUUCUAGAGGGAAGCAAAGUAUGCUGGAAACCCGGUCAAGAGAGCGAAGAAUACUCAAGGAACUAAAAGAAGUUCAGCAUGCCUGGAGAACAGUGUUUGAAGGGAGGUAUGAGGAGAGAUAGUGACAGAGGUCAGGAAGGGCCAGGUCUGGAUUUUAUCAGCCGUAUUAUGGACUCUGAACUGCAUCCUAAGGGCAAAGGAAAUCCCUGCAGCUGCAUUAUCCGCUAGGUUUUUAGUGAUGGUGGGAAAAUUCUAUAUCUGCUCCAUUCAGUAUGUAGCUACUAGCAUCAUGUGAACAUGACUGAACAUUUAAAAUGUGGCUAGUUUUACAGAGGUACUGAAUUUUUUAAAUUUAAUUUUAUUUAAUUUAAAUAGGCACAUGUUGCUAGUGGCUAUUCAUAUGGGAUGGUGCAGCUCUGCAGCGUUAUAAUCACAGACAUGUACACACGUAUCCAUUUGUUGGCAUAUGUAUGGAUACUGACAUACGGAAACGAUUUUGUAUUUGCACAUAAUUAAACACCCUCAUACCACAACAAUGCACAUAUGGAUAUAACUAGGAACAAUUGCAUAAAACUAGAUACAAUUACAUAAAACAGACCCUUACCUAUUCUUAUGGAAGGAUGAGAACAAUGAAAAUUGAAACUGGAAAGAGCGUAUGGGUCAGUAUAGGGAUAUUUGACACAGGAAGAAUUGCAGCAAAAAGAAUACAGGUAGGAGCCUCGUUGUGGUUCACUGGGUUAAGAACUGAUUAGUAUCCAUAAGGAUGAGGGUUCAAUUCCUGGCCUCGCUCAUUUGGUUAAGGAUCCGGUAUUGCCAAGAGCUGCAGUAGGGGUUACAGAUGAGGCUCGAAUCUGAUGUUGCUGUGGCUAUGGUGUAGGCUGGCAGCUGCAGCAGCUCUGAUUUAGCCCCUGGCUUGGGAACUUCCAUGUGCCACAGGUGUGCCUCCCCUGCCACCGACAAAAAAAAAAAAAAAGAAAGAAAAAAGAAAAGAAAAGAAAAGAAAUGUGGGUGUUGGAAAACGAAGUGAAUUUUGGAUGACACUAUUAAACUGAAAAUAAGAAAAAAGAAAAAAAAUCCAAUGAGACUACCAUUGAUUUGGGAAUCUAAAUAUUUCCUUUGCUAUUUUAAAUCUUUGAGCAAAAUACUUGCACAAAUGACACACAUCCUUCUAUGGCAAACUCAAACUCUUAGGAUGGUCCUGAUGACUAAGAACUCCAAGGGACAUAGAAGAGAGGAGAAGAGCACUUCUUUUUUAAAAAAAUGUAUUGAAUAUAUUUAAUUUACAAUGCUGUGUUAAUUUCUGCUGUACAGCAAAGUGCCUAAGUUAUCCAUAUAUAUAUUCUUUUUCAUAUUCUUUUCCAUUAUAAUUACAGAAUAUUGAAUAUAGUUUCCUGUGCUAUACAGUAGG